GUAGGUGAACCUGCAGAAGGAUCAUUACAUUCAGUAGCUUGCUACUAUUAGAGAGGUCUAUAAGUCUGUAUAGUAUCACUACUAAUAAGCAGUAUAACCCUCUGUCUAUACUCUUGUCUUUUGCGCACUCAUGUUUCCUCGGCAGCUUGAUACCCGCCGGUUAGAUCAUUCUAUAACCUCUUUAAUUUUCAAUCAGCGUCUGAAAAACCCAAUAAUUACAACUUUCAACAAUAGAUCUCUUGGUUCUGGC
rnacentral:misc_RNA from 1 species